rnacentral:rRNA from 1 species
AGUGAACGCUGGCGGUAGGCCUAACACAUGCAAGUCGAACGGCAGCACAGGAGAGCUUGCUCUCUGGGUGGCGAGUGGCGGACGGGUGAGGAAUACAUCGGAAUCUACUCUGUCGUGGGGGAUAACGUAGGGAAACUUACGCUAAUACCGCAUACGACCUACGGGUGAAAGCAGGGGACCUUCGGGCCUUGCGCGAUUGAAUGAGCCGAUGUCGGGUUAGCUAGUUGGCGGGGUAAAGGCCCACCAAGGCGACGAUCCGUAGCUGGUCUGAGAGGGUGAUCCGCCACACUUGAACUGAGAGAGGGUCCAGACUCCUACGGGAGGCAGCAGUGAGGAAUAUUGGGCAAUGGGCGCAAGCCUGAUCCAGCCAUACCGCGUGGGUGAAGAAUGCCUUCGGGUUGUAAAGCCCUUUUGUUGAGAAAGAAAUCCAGCUGGCUAAUACCCGGUUGGGAUGACGGUACCCAGAGAAUAAGCACCGGCUAACUUCGUGCCAGCCGCCGCAGUAA